UACGUAGGUGGCAAGCGUUAUCCGGAAUUAUUGGGCGUAAAGGGUGCGCAGGCGGUUUAUUAAGUUUAGGGUGAAAGCGUUGGGCUCAACCCAAUAUAGCCUUAAAAACUGAUAAACUAGAGUGCAGAAGAGGGUAGUGGAAUUCCAUGUGUAGCGGUAAAAUGCGUAGAUAUAUGGAAGAACACCAGUGGCGAAGGCGGCUGUCUGGUCUGUAACUGACGCUCAGUCCCGAAAGCGUGGGUAGCAAACAGG
rnacentral:rRNA from 1 species